rnacentral:lncRNA from 1 species
GGUGCCACCUCCUUGGAGACCCACCCAUAGGUGGUUACUCAGUGUUUGACGGCAUGUGUGCCUUGGACCCCAAAUUCCACUUCCGGGUACCUUUUCUAAGGAAACACAGCUCCUGGCAACAAGGACACUGAAGGAACACUUGAAAACGUUGAAAUUGUAAAGGAAAACAAAUAAACCUGCACAAAGGUCCUUACGUGUGGAAAUAAAGAAUCAUGUCAGGGAGACCCAGAAGGGCUUGGGCAGCCAAGGUAAGAUGGCGAGUGAGGGGGCAGGGCCAGAACAAAGGAACGUGGCGAGGGUCUUCUAAUGAAGUCAAUUUGCUGGUUGACGAGAAGGGCUUGUGCACACAAGCAGGGGACACAGUGAGACAGACACGUCACACUCACGCUCUUAAGGGGGGAUCCAGCAGAAAAAGUAAAACAGACAGGUGGACGGAGGGGGCUCCCAUCAAUACUAGUGAGGAGAGUGUGGACAGGGAGGAGAAAAGGAAAGAAGGGAAUGCCAAAGAACACAAAAUACAAGCAGAGCCCCCCCCCCACCACCACCACCACGGAUUCCUGGCUCUGGGGCCCCUUUUCUUCAGAGAAGUCUUUCUCUGUGGCUUUUGCAGUAAACCUGCUGCUUGCUUGCUAUCUCUGUGUCCCGCCCUUCAGUUCUUUGCUGAAUGCAGACAGUGAACCCAGCACCCCUAGAGGGUAACGUUGGCACAUUCUGGAGAAUGCUAGGUAGAAGGUAAAAGUGAUGGGACAGUUCUCCAGGAACGCACAGGACAAGUUCACCCGGACUUCCUGCCAAAUGCAAAAUCCAAGUUGCCGCACUACAUGUGGCGUGAUCCAGUGUGUUUUACAGCCCCGUGAAACAGAGCCAGGCAUUUCCACAGGGGUAUUCGGGUGUAUGUGAACACACGACUGGAGAAUACUUGAGGAAACACACCAGGCUGAAGGUGAGGAGACUGGUGAUGGAGUGGGAUGGAAGAGGGACACCACCGUUUUAUCUGUGUUCUUUAGUGGGGUUCGGGGAGAUUGUGUGCAGGGGUUAUUUUGUGUAAGCAAGACAAUAUUUAAAACUGUGGCAGAUCUGUAACCAGCAGGUGUUCUGAAAAAGGGAUCUGUUACUAUUGUCAAUAAUAAGAAUCACAACCCACUUGGAAGAGUUUCUGAGAAACUGCUUGCAAGCCCACAGAAUUUUAUUGAGACCCUCCCGCGUACCUAGUGCUUCCCCGUAGAUAAUUACCUGCAGUUCACCCUGUGGAAUCCCAGGGCUGGCGGGAUACAGCUGGGCCCUUCUCCCUGGAACAUGCCCUCCAAAUGAAGGUUUCCAAUUUUCAUCCCUAUACUCUUUGCAUUUCAGCACCUUAUGAAGUUGGGAGCUGUCGUGGAGAGCACUUCUUGAGGUGAAUCCCACCCACAGCACAGGAGUCUCCUUAAGGAAGCUCCAUCCCACCCACACCCUCCGGGUCCAUUCAAGGCAGGUGCCCAGAGGCAGCUUAUUUUCUCCAGGACACUCAGGAAGAAAAGGAAAUCCACAGAGGCUGGGCAGGGCUGUCAGCCUCACCCCACAUUGGGUUCUGGGGGAGUGUGCAGCCUGACCACCAGUAGCAGCCCCAGACUCAUUGCUCAGCAAAAUCCCAAGGUGGGUGUAAUAGUCUGCUCUGGCUGCCACAACAAAACACUACAAACUGGGUGACUGCAACAACAGAAAUUUAUUUUCACAAGGUUCUGUAGGCUGGGGACUCCAAGGUCAAGGACUUUUGCAGCUUGGUCUCAUGUUUGGCCUCCUCCUCACUAAGUCCUCCUGUGACCUUUCCAUGAUGUGUGUGCGUGUGUGUGUGUGUGUGAGGGGGGUGUGUGUGUGUGCGUGUGUGUGCACAGACAGACAGUAAGUUCACUAGGGUCUCUCUGUAGAAGGAUAUUAGUCCUAUCACAUCAGGGUCCCACCCUUCAUGGCCUCACUGAACCUUACUCGGCCUUAAAGGCUCUGGCUCCAAAUGCAGUCACAAUGGGAGUGAGGACUUCAUCACAUGAAUUGGAGUGGAGGGAAGUACAAUUCAGUGCAUAGCAAGUAGUAAAUAUUUUGCUGCUGAUUUGACUUUCUAGUGACCCUGCUCCCCGGCCAUCCAGAUCACAGAUGUCACUACCUUCAGAUACUGAAAGAUAUAUCCGGCCCCUCAUCCUAACCUAAAGCAGCCAACUACCACUCCCAGUGUUACCAAUGAAGUGGGGGAGUGGGUACCCCGCCCAUGAACUGCCACUGUUUUUAGCAUCACCAAUGACAUCAGAAUCCCUGGACCUGACCAUGGGUACAACCUAGAGCCUCUGAGAGGACAAGAUAUGGGAAUGGAUCCCCAGAACUGAUUGAUUGGGCCCUGAGAAAGCUCACUCAGAAUCUCCAGCAUAAGGGGCUCAGAGGCUCUGGGGUGCUGGGGGGAGUGCACAAAGUAUCCUGUUCUUCUUCUGCCACCUGGUGGUUAGUCAGUAUGUUGACAAGUGCACAAAAGGAAACCUGGAGUUUGGGGGUCUUAGAUAGAAUCUGGCCUUUCUCCCUGGGAGUUUAGGGGUCUGACCAGGAACUAGGAAGAAACUCCUCACUUACCAGUCAAGUUUCCUCACGUGAGGAUUAAACGUGUGCAGAGAAAUGACAGUGUAGUGAUUUGGGUCUUCGUUUCUAUCCAUUAUCUUUUAAGUUGGCAAUUUACACCAAGCCUGCAGUUUAGGACUUAAACCCAACCCACACAAUGUAGCUAGCUGCAAGCCAAACAAGAACCAUCGCUUUCACUUGUUCACUGGUUCAUGUUCCACACACUCCUCUUUUUCCAUGGAGUGCAGUAGGAACAAGCCUCGUUGGAGUGGAGUCACGGGAAGGGAGAUGUGGAGGACAGGGCAGGAGACCUUUUCACUUUGGGGAGGAGUUUCUGAGUAUCUGGCACAACUUGCCCAGAGACUCACAAGGUUUUGGUAAAAAGUUGUGUGUAAAUCAGGUACUCACGUACUGGACAGCUCAGGGCUCUUGUGCGUCUGACUUGUACAAGACCCCAUGAAGGACAGAGCUGUCUGGGACCGCUGGCACCCUCCUCUCUAGGCCAUCCUAUACACGUGAUGGCUUGGUCAGCAGCUCUAAUGCUGUUAAUGGUCUCCUUUUAAAGCCAGUGGCCACCCGUCUGAUGGGCAGGGGUUCUGCAUGUGAAAUCCCAUCUGCAGUGUCGGGGGUCUUGGUGAUAUGCUUCCCAGCUCUUUCCCCAAUCCUAUCUCUAGUACUCUGGGUCUGUCUAGAAUGCUGGUGUGACACACCCUGAACAGAAGUGAUGGCUGAGGUUUCCUCAGGUUUGCAGUUGAUAUGUAUUCAGGGGUCAAAUAAGUCUCCCUGCAGUUGCCUCUGCCCUUUGAAGGGAAACCCGUCCAUUACUCACAAAUGACUCAUUUUGUACAUGAGAAACACCCACGUCAUCCAUAAGGCUUGGCUGUGAAAUGUGUGGAAAGCUACGUAGAGUUAAAGGACAAUAGUGCUUCAUGAAGUCAGGUGACAAAGAACACCCAGUUUGCCUGGUACUGAAGGAUCUUCCAGGACAUAGGACUGGCAGUGAGAAAACUGGGGUGGUCUCAGACAAACUGGGACAGUGGAUGGCCACCACACAGGGGCAAAGGGACAU